rnacentral:lncRNA from 1 species
UUGAAAAAGAAAUUUGAUGUUUUGAUGAAUAAAAAGCAAGAGUUUUUAGAUAAGAGUUUAAGUGCCGAAAUGAUUAAAUGCAUUUUUUGUAAUUUUCAUGGUCAUACUAUACAUACUUGUCCUAUUAAAAGAAAAGUCCCAUUUAGAAUUAGGCAAGUAUGGGUUCCUAAAGGAACAGGAGACUUGCUCACUAACUCUCAAGGACCCAAAGCAAUUUUGGUACCAAAAAUCAAAUGAGAUUGUCUCUUGUAGGUGUGCUAGAGCAAGAAACCACAAUGUGAGAUUGAAGAUUGAAUACUUUAGACACACAAUGGAGAUGGGUAACCUCUAAACUUUAUUUGAAGAGAAUUUGAAUUUAGUUACCUAUUCUUGAUGAAAUUUG